GACGUAGGGCGCGAGCGUUGUCCGGAUUUAUUGGGCGUAAAGAGCUCGUAGGCGGCUUGUUGCGUCGACUGUGAAAACCCGCGGCUUAACUGCGGGCUUGCAGUUGAUACGGGCAGGCUAGAGUUCGGUAGGGGAGACUGGAGUUCCUGGUGUAGCGGUGAAAUGCGCAGAUAUCAGGAGGAACACCGGUGGCGAAGGCGAGUCCCUGGACAAAAACUGACACUGAGGCACGAAAGCUAGGGGAGCAAACAGG
rnacentral:rRNA from 1 species